rnacentral:rRNA from 1 species
UACGUAGGCAGCGAGCGUUGUUCGGAAUUACUGGGCGUAAAGAGUGUGUAGGCGGUGCUCUAAGUCUGUUGUGAAAUCUCCCGGCUCAACUGGGAGGGUGCGCCGAAUACUGAAUGACUAGAGUGCGGGAGAGGAGAGUGGAAUUCCUGGUGUAGCGGUGAAAUGCGUAGAUAUCAGGAGGAACACCUAUGGCGAAGGCAGCUCUCUGGGACGGUACUGGCGCUGAGACGCGAAAGCGUGGGGAGCGAACAGG